CACAAGCGGAGGAGCAUGUGGUUUAAUUCGAUGAUACGCGAGGAACCUUACCUGGGCUCGAACGUAAGAUGACUGUAGGUGAAAGCUUACAUCUCUUCGGAGCAUUUUACGAGGUGCUGCAUGGUUGUCGUCAGCUCGUGCCGUGAGGUGUCGGGUUAAGUCCCAUAACGAGCGCAACCCUACCUUUAGUUGCCAUCAGGUAAUGCUGGGGACUCUAAAGGAACUGCCUACGCAAGUAGUGAGGAAGGCGGGGAUGACGUCAAAUCAGCACGGCCCUUACGUCCAGGGCUACACACGUGCUACAAUGGCCGAUACAGAGGGCAGCUACCUGGUGACAGGAUGCUAAUCUCAAAAGCCGGUCUCAGUUCGGAUCGGAGUCUGCAACCCGACUCCGUGAAGCUGGAAUCGCUGGUAAUCGCGCAUCAGCCAUGGCGCGGUGAAUACGUUCCCGGGCCUU
rnacentral:rRNA from 1 species